rnacentral:rRNA from 1 species
GCUCAGGAUGAACGCUAGCGGCAGGCUUAACACAUGCAAGUCGAGGGGCAGCAUAAUGGAUAGCAAUAUCUAUGGUGGCGACCGGCGCACGGGUGCGUAACGCGUAUGCAACCUACCUUUAACAGGGGGAUAACACUGAGAAAUUGGUACUAAUACCCCAUAAUAUCAUAGAAGGCAUCUUUUAUGGUUGAAAAUUCCGAUGGUUAGAGAUGGGCAUGCGUUGUAUUAGCUAGUUGGUGGGGUAACGGCUCACCAAGGCGACGAUACAUAGGGGGACUGAGAGGUUAACCCCCCACACUGGUACUGAGACACGGACCAGACUCCUACGGGAGGCAGCAGUGAGGAAUAUUGGUCAAUGGGCGGAAGCCUGAACCAGCCAUGCCGCGUGCGGGAAGGAGGCCCUAUGGGCUGUGAACCGCUUUUGCCCGGGGGCAAUAAGGGCGUCGCGCACGUCCGAUGAGAGUACCAGGCGAAUAAGCAUCGGCUAACUCCGUGCCAGCAGCCGCGGUAAUACGGGGGAUGCGAGCGUUAUCCGGAUUCAUUGGGUUUAAAGGGUGCGUAGGCUGUGCGUCAAGUCGGGGGUGAAAUUCCGGUGCUCAACACCGGGGCUGCCCUUGAUACUGUCGCGCUGGAGUGCGGAUGCCGCCGGAGGAAUGAGUGGUGUAGCGGUGAAAUGCUUAGAUAUCACUCAGAACACCGAUUGCGAAGGCAUCUGGCGAAUCCGUAACUGACGCUGAGGCACGAAAGCGUGGGGAUAGAACAGGAUUAGAUACCCUGGUAUUCCACGCCGUAAACGAUGAUGGCUAACCGCCGGCGACACACUGUCGGUGGCCAAGCGAAAGCGAUAAGCCAUCCACCUGGGGAGUACGUCGGCAACGAUGAAACUCAAAGGAAUUGACGGGGGCCCGCACAAGCGGAGGAACAUGUG